rnacentral:rRNA from 1 species
UCUGCCCGGUGAGAGUUUAAACGGCCGCAGUACCUUGACUGUGCAAAGGUAGCAUAAUCAUUUGACUUUUAAAUGGAGCCUAGCAUGAAUGAGAGAACGUAAAUUAAUUGUCUCAAUAGCAUUACUUUAAAUUUAAUGGAUGAGUGAAAAUACUCAUAAAUUUAAAAAUAGACGAGAAGACCCUUAGAAUUUUAAAAAUAUAACCUCUAAAGGUUAAGAUUUUUUGUUGGGGCAACAAUAUUUCACUGAAUAAAUAUAUUAAUGAAUAAAUGGGUCGAUUUAAUAGUUACAAUAAAAUUACCUAAGGGAUAACAGCAUAAUUUUAGAAGUAAGUUUGUGACCUCGAUGUUGGACUAGGUACUAUUAAGGCUAAUCGUUUUAAUAUAAUAGGUUCUGUUCGAACUUUAUUACCU